rnacentral:rRNA from 1 species
UGGGGAAUUUUGGACAAUGGGCGAAAGCCUGAUCCAGCAAUGCCGCGUGUGUGAAGAAGGCCUUCGGGUUGUAAAGCACUUUUGUCCGGAAAGAAAUCCUUGGCUCUAAUACAGUCGGGGGAUGACGGUACCGGAAGAAUAAGCACCGGCUAACUACGUGCCAGCAGCCGCGGUAAUACGUAGGGUGCAAGCGUUAAUCGGAAUUACUGGGCGUAAAGCGUGCGCAGGCGGUUUGCUAAGACCGAUGUGAAAUCCCCGGGCUCAACCUGGGAACUGCAUUGGUGACUGGCAGGCUAGAGUAUGGCAGAGGGGGGUUAGAAUUCCACGUGUAGCAGUGAAAUGCGUAGAGAUGUGGAGGAAUACCGAUGGCGAAGGCAGCCCCCUGGGCAAUACUGACGCUCAUGCACGAAAGCGUGGGGAGCAAACAGGAUUAGAUACCCUGGUAGUCCACGCCCUAAACGAUGUCAACUAGUUGUUGGGGAUUCAUUUCCUUAGUAACGUAGCUAACGCGUGAAGUUGACCGCCUGGGGAGUACGGUCGCAAGAUUAAAACUUAAAGGAAUUGACGGGGAUCAUAGCUG